rnacentral:rRNA from 1 species
CACGUAGGGCGCGAGCGUUGUCCGGAAUUAUUGGGCGUAAAGAGCUCGUAGGCGGCCUGUUGCGUCCGCUGUGAAAGCCCGGGGCUUAACCCCGGGUCGGCAGUGGAUACGGGCAGGCUAGAGGUAGGUAGGGGAGAAUGGAAUUCCCGGUGUAGCGGUGAAAUGCGCAGAUAUCGGGAGGAACACCGGUGGCGAAGGCGGCGAUCUGGACGAUGACUGACGCUGAGACGCGAAAGCGUGGGGAGCAAACAGG